rnacentral:lncRNA from 12 species
CUAGUCUGAUCCCAGCAUGACUGCUCUUCUUAGGGAUCUCGAAGCCAUGCUUGCUGAGCCACAUCUCAGCCCUGACAGCAAGCCCUGAGGUCCUGCCUGGGUCCUCCUUGGUUGCCCUUGCUCCUGACUCCCUGAUACUCAGCACAAUCCUGGCCCAAAGUGGGCGCUCACAGGCUCUCGAAAGAAUGUGGCAAGAAAUGAAGGUGGGAAAGAAUCAAGACGCUCUGGAAAUAACAGACUCCUAACUCUCACUCAAGUUAGCCAGCAAAGAGAGGUAAAAAUUGAUUUUUCUUUAAUUAAAAAAAAUACUCUGGAUUGAAACUUAGGAUGGUAUUAGUAUAUAUUAUAAAUUUCAUAUGAAUAAAGAUUAGUUGAACAUAUACUACA